CAUUAAGAAGCUAUGCACUAGCACUAGCCUUUUAAGCUAGACAGAGAGGGGCAACUCCCUCCUUAAUGG
rnacentral:tRNA from 2 species